GCGCCACUGCACCCUAGUCCUGGCGACAGACCACUACAGCCCGUCACCUACAGAAGUGCUCAUGGAUUUGGCCGGACAGUUUCCUCGGGGAGAGAUUUCACUGCCGUGACAUGAGGAAUGAAAGAAAGAAACUGAGCAGAGAACUGCGACUCUGUGCAAGAACCAAGUGUCAUGCCACCCAGGCUGGAGUGCAGUGGUGCGAUCACUACUCAUUGCAGCCUCCAUCUCCCGGGCUCAAGCGAUCCUCCCGCCUGUCUCCCAAGGAGCUGGGAUCACACUUCUGCACUAUCACGCCCACGCCCGGCUGUUUGCUUGUUUGUUUGUUUGUUUGUUUGUUUUGGUAGAGCCGAAGGGUUGGGAGGGAGUGGGGAGGGGCGGGGGAGCUGAUAAUGGUCUGUCUAUGUCGCCCAGGGUGAUCUGGAACUCCUGGGCACCCAGCCUCAUGCCACUUUUUGACUCUGCCCUCCUUUUUAUAUCUUCCUCCCUCCUCAUUCAAAAUCCUCUUUCGGGCACUCCCAUAACAUCUUCCAUUUCACUUUGAUGACUCCUCCAGACCAGUCCCCUUCCUUUUCACAUACCUAUCACCAAGAAAUAUCUUGGGCCCGCAAGAUCUUCACAAAAGAAGCCUUUUGUUUUGUUUCUCUCGGAAAUCGAGAGACAAGGCAUGUUUUGCUCCCAGUGCCUAGUUGGGGGAAAAUAUCUCUAUAUCUGUGGAUAAAUUGGACCUUCCUGGCACUUUUAUAAAAUUCCCUGUUUGCAUAAUUUCCAUAUCAUUGUUCUUCCUUUUUCCACAAGGCAAUUGUUCUGUCUUCCAAUUCUGUUUUAUGAAAAUAAAUCAAAUUUAAAAGUUGUUGGAACCCCCCCACCCACCCACCGCCACAAUGCUCUAAGCCUUCAGAGAGAUGUGAAUGCCGUCUGAGUCACAUAUGGUUACAACUUCUGUUCUCAGAUCAUAGAUUAAUGUACUUUCUUAUUUUUCUUGUUCUGUGUGUACCAGAGAGAAUUAAACGACAUCAAGAACAAAAACCUACAGUCUUCUUAAUUAAUGACCCUCGUUACAGAUGAAUUUCCCUUGUCUUGUCCUGCUUUGUUUGCUUAGACCAGAUAACAGAAAACCCAUGAUUAUUAUGCCCUCUGCAAAAAAUGUUAAAUGCACCCUUGCCAAAAAG
rnacentral:lncRNA from 10 species